rnacentral:rRNA from 1 species
AGAGUUUGAUCCUGGCUCAGGAUGAACGCUAGCGGCGGGCUUAAUACAUGCAAGUCGAACGGUGCAGCAAUGCAUAGUGGCAGACGGGUGCGUAACGCGUAUGCAACCUACCUUUUAUCGGGGGACAACAUUUCGAAAGAAGUGCUAAUACCGCGUAAGAUAGUAGUGAGACAUCUCACAGCUAUUAAACCUACGGGGAUAGAAGAUGGGCAUGCGUCUGAUUAGCUAGUUGGCGGGGUAAAGGCCCACCAAGGCGACGAUCAGUAGGGGAACUGAGAGGUUGAUCCCCCACACUGGCACUGAGAUACGGGCCAGACUCCUACGGGAGGCAGCAGUAGGGAAUAUUGGGCAAUGGAGGGAACUCUGACCCAGCCACGCCGCGUGCAGGAGGAAGGCGCUCUGCGUUGUAAACUGCUUUAGCAGGGGAAGAAAAGACUCACGCGUGAGGAAUUGACGGUACCCUGAGAAUAAGCACCGGCUAACUACGUGCCAGCAGCCGCGGUAAUACGUAGGGUGCAAGCGUUGUCCGGAUUUAUUGGGUUUAAAGGGUGCGUAGGCGGUCUAUUAAGUCAGUGUUUAAAUUUUGCAGCUUAACUGUAGGUAUGGCAUUGAUACUGAUGGACUUGAAUAUUAUAGAGGUAGCUGGAAUUUAUGGUGUAGCGGUGAAAUGCAUAGAUACCAUAAGGAACACCGAUAGCGGAGGCNGGUUACCAUGUGA